UACGUAGGGCGCAAGCGUUUGUCCGGAAUUAUUGGGCGUAAAGAGCUCGUAGGCGGCCUGUUGCGUCCGCUGUGAAAUCCCGGGGCUCAACCCCGGGCGUGCAGUGGAUACGGGCUGGCUGGAGGCAGGCAGGGGAGAACGGAAUUCCUGGUGUAGCGGUGAAAUGCGCAGAUAUCAGGAGGAACACCGGUGGCGAAGGCGGCUAUCUGGUCCAACACUGACACUGAGGCCCGAAAGCGUGGGGAUCAAACAGG
rnacentral:rRNA from 1 species